rnacentral:lncRNA from 1 species
AGUAGAAAAUUUUCUUUCCACUUGUUAGACUUAUCUUGAAUUAGCCAGAAGUUUCUCGGUGAAACGUGUGCUCUUUUCAAGGAUAUUUUAGACUUUUUGCUCCCAAGAAUUUUUCUAUUUAAGGAACAAGUUUCAUUUGGUUUAGGCAGAAGUUUACAACCUGUGUACUCUCUGCUAUCCAAAAACCUUUUGAAACCUUUCUCAGAAAAAUUCUCAAUCCAAAAAAUCAUUGUAUAGCUGAAUCAUCCUUGUGAAUAC